CCUACGGGGGGCAGCAGUGGGGGAUAUUGCACAAUGGGGGGAACCCUGAUGCAGCGACGCCGCGUGGGUGAAGAAGCGCCUCGGCGCGUAAAGCCCUGUCAGCAGGGAAGAAAAUGACGGUACCUGAAGAAGAAGCCCCGGCUAACUACGUGCCAACAGCCGCGGUAAUACGUAGGGGGCAAGCGUUAUCCGGAUUUACUGGGUGGAAAGGGGGCGCAGACGGCGAUGCAAGCCAGGAGUGAAAGCCCGGGGCCCAACCCCGGGACUGCUCGUGGAACUGCGUGGCUGGAGUGCAGGAGGGGCAGGCGGAAUUCCUGGUGUAGCGGUGAAAUGCGUAGAUAUCAGGAGGAACACCGGUGGCGAAGGCGGCCUGCUGGACUGCAACUGACGUUGAGGCCCGAAAGCGUGGGGAGCAAACAGGAUUAGAUACCCCAGUAGUC
rnacentral:rRNA from 1 species